GGGUCCUCUGGAAGAUCAGCCAGCACUCUUAACAGCCGAGCCCUUCUCCAUCCCUAAUACUUAUUUUUAAAUCCAUUAUGUUUAUCUAUUUAGCGUGUGUGUGUGCACACGACCGAGGUCAGAGGCCAACUUCUGGGGGUAAGUUCUCUCCACCACGUGAGUCUUGGGGCUCAAACAGGUUGUUGAGGUUCUCUUCUGGUGUUUUCCCCUCUGAGCUGCCUCACCAGCUCUCACACUUAGUGAGAGAAUACCACAUAAAAAGAGCCAAAAUGACCCAGAGCUCCCAGGGACUAAACCACCAUCCAAAGAGUACGCAUGGAGGGACCCAUGGCUCCAGCCACAUAUGUAGCAGAGGAUGGCCUUGUCGGACAUCUAUGGGAGGCAAGGUCCUUGGUCCUGUGAGGGCUCAAUGCCCCAGUGUAGGGGAAUGCCAGGGUGGGGAGGCAGGAGGGAGGGGGUGGAUGGGUGGGGGAGCACCCUCCUAGAAACAGGGGGAGGGGGAGAGAACAGGGGUUUUCUGGAGGGGAAACGGGGAAAGGCGAUAACAUGUGAAAUGUAAAUAAAUAGGAUAUCCAAUAAAAGAAAAAAUUGCAAA
rnacentral:lncRNA from 1 species